GUUGAAAUUGGAUUAGAAUGUGAAUUGAAACCAAUUGAUAAAUGUUCUGUUAGUGAAAAUAAAGCAGGGUAUGUGAGAUGAAAAAUGUUCACUGAGUUUUGCUGAUUCAAAAUAAUGCAGGGUUGUGGUGAGAAGGAUUAUGCAGGUUGGUUUUUUUGUCAAUUUUAUGGAGGAAGUUUAAUGUUUCUCUAUGAAAAUUGUUGCAGGCUGGAUGUCAUCAUGGAGCUUGCUUGGACAAUGGCUUUGUAAUGGAACUGCUUGUGAUAUAUGAUGUACACCAUAGGCUAUAUGAAUUUGGAUUGUGAGCUUGGGUCAUGUUGUAAUUUGAAAUGAAAUGUGUGAAUUUUGUAAUGUAGGGUUAUGUAUGAAUGUAUUGGAAUGUUUGGUUUAAUGGUUGAAUAUGUAUUGGAAUGUUUUGAAUGUGGAAAUUAAUGGUUGAAUAUAUAUAAAAAAUUGGUUUGUAUGAACAUGGGUUACAAAGUGUAUGCAAAGUCAUUUGGUUUGAUCAUGAUUAUGGUUUGUGGGUAUGUAAUUUUGAAUAUAUGGCUCAAUGAAUGCUUUAAAAUGGAAAAUAUCUUUAAAAUGGAAAGUGG
rnacentral:lncRNA from 1 species